CAAGUCCUGCCUGAGCUUUCUCCGCAGCAGCCCGGGCCGGGGACCGACAGGCGGCCGGAGCCCAGGCAGCGCCGCGAGCCGCAGGACGGACCUUGGAGCCCGGGCCCGCCCAGGGUCUAGCUACCUAAGAGCCGCGCCAGAGACUCCCACUGGGUGCCGGGAUGGGCGUCGGUCUCCAGAAGCGGCCCAUCCGGGUCCACCCCAGCCCGACCGGCCGGACGGAAGGCCCCGGACGCCUUGCUCGCCCAACUCGGGAAGGAAGAAAAUGAGGGAAGGGUCCGGCCGCUGGCAGCCGACAGGGGAAGAAGUAGAGUGCCAGGGGGCGCCGCCGCUUCCCACCUGCGUCAAGCUCCAGCUGGUAACAGGGCAAAGGCUCGAGGGAGAGCUUGUAACCCUCGAAACGGGGAUCCAGCAGAGGUCUCUUCACGCGCAGAGAGCAAUUAGCAGCCACCUCCAUAGCCACCUCCUGGGUCGCAGCGAGAGAAUUAAUAAAGCUCUUGUUGAAAGGUCCGCGCUUCGCUCGUAGCGCCGAGGCUCGCAGGCGGCGUGGUUCCCAUCCCAGAAAGCACUGCGCGGUGCGGGAUGCCUUCUGGGAAAUGUAGUGUCCAAGGGAAAGUGGACUCUGUUGCAUGUCGGGCUAUGUAGUUUUUUGGAGACCUAACGCCCCAGCGACAGCAUGGGCCGGACUCUCUUACCCAGAGGGCUGAGCUACCAGGAGGCGGCCCGCGCUGGUUAAAUUCUCACAUUUAUAGGCAGGGGAGCGAGACCCCGCCCCGGAAAUGCGUGUUUUAGCUUUCUGUGUGCUUAGGUGCCCGAGCUACUGAGGGUCUAGGUCCGGGCAGCCGAAGAGUGUGGUAGGUAACGGUCGUCAGCGCAAGGGUCAUUUCGUCGCUGGGAAGGGACGGCCCUCGCCCGCGGUGAUGGUGGUUAGCAAGAUGAACAAAGAUGCGCAGAUGAGAGCAGCGAUUAACCAAAAGUUGAUAGAAACUGGAGAAAGAGAACGCCUCAAAGAGUUGCUGAGAGCUAAAUUAAUUGAAUGUGGCUGGAAGGACCAGUUGAAGGCACACUGUAAAGAGGUAAUUAAAGAAAAAGGACUAGAACACGUUACUGUUGAUGACUUGGUGGCUGAAAUCACACCAAAAGGCAGAGGGAAAAACAACCUUUCCAAAAUUAUUGGGUACUCAUUGGGAAAGAUUAUAAUUGCCUACCUGCCUCUCUAGCAUAGUCUUGAGUAAUAAAUGAGAUGAGAGGUAUAAAAUGUUUUUGCACUCUAAAACAGUAUACAAAACCCUGGUACCUGACAGUGUAAAGAAGGAGCUCCUACAAAGAAUAAGAACAUUCCUUGCUCAGCAUGCCAGCCUUUAAGAUUGAAUUAGAUUGUGUUGUUUUGUGGUUUUAUUUCUGAAAGUAAAACUUGCCAUAAAUUAGGAAUCAAUUUCCCAAAUAAAAUCCUUUUUUGUAUGAUGGUAUACAGUUUUCAGUAAUGAUGUAUACAUUGUAUUGAUUUUUUUCCCUAAAUGUGUUAUUUUAAUAAAUAUCUCAUGAAUGAGCUUGAA